rnacentral:other from 1 species
GAGUAUCUGUUGUGCUCGUGCUUUGAUUUAUUUACCUGAGCCGAUUAAUUUUAUAACAGGAGAUGAGAUUGGUUGCUAUUGUGUAUGCCUGCCUAUGAGCGGGAAACCUACGGCAAACAUCGAACUUCCACCUUGAGCUAAGUGCUUCAGGACCAUUUCAACACGGCACAACGGACCCUUU